rnacentral:tRNA from 1 species
UCUAAUGUGGCAGAUUAGUGCGGUGGAUUUAAGCUCCAUUUAUAAAGGAAGCUUUUGUUAGAA